rnacentral:rRNA from 1 species
UAGGGAAUCUUCGGCAAUGGGGGCAACCCUGACCGAGCAACGCCGCGUGAGUGAAGAAGGUUUUCGGAUCGUAAAGCUCUGUUGUAGGAGAAGAACGUGUGUGAGAGUGGAAAGUUCACACAGUGACGGUAACUUACCAGAAAGGGACGGCUAACUACGUGCCAC